UACGGGGGGGGCAAGCGUUGUUCGGAAUUACUGGGCGUAAAGCGUGCGCAGGCGGCUUUGCAAGACAGAUGUGAAAUCCCCGGGCUCAACCUGGGAACUGCAUUUGUGACUGCAUGGCUAGAGUGCGGCAGAGGGGGAUGGAAUUCCGCGUGUAGCAGUGAAAUGCGUAGAUAUGCGGAGGAACACCGAUGGCGAAGGCAAUCCCCUGGGCCUGCACUGACGCUCAUGCACGAAAGCGUGGGGAGCAAACAGG
rnacentral:rRNA from 1 species